ensembl:snRNA U5 U5 spliceosomal RNA
AUACUCAGGUUUCUCUUCAGGUCAUAUAAAUCUUGCCCUUUUACUAAAGAUUCCAUGGAGAGGAACAAUUAUGACUCUUAAACCAAUUUUUUGAGGCCUCGAGGCU